AGAUUGAACGCUGGCGGCACGCCUAACACAUGCAAGUCGAGCGGUAGCGCGGAUAGUAGCAAUACUAUCUGGCGACGAGCGGCGGACGGGUGAGGAACACGUAGGAACCUGCCCAAGAGAGGGGGAUAACCAAGGGAAACUUUGGCUAAUACCGCGUAAUCUCGAGAGAGCAAAGUCACCGCAAGGUGACGCUUUUGGAGGGGCCUGCGUCCGAUUAGCUAGUUGGUAAGGUAAUAGCUUACCAAGGCGAUGAUCGGUAACUGGUCUGAGAGGACGACCAGUCACACUGGGACUGAGACACGGCCCAGACUCCUACGGGAGCAGCAGUGGGGAAUAUUGGACAAUGGGGGCAACCCUGAUCCAGCGAUGCCGCGUGGGUGAAGAAGGCCUUCGGGUUGUAAGCCCGUUUAGGUUGGAAGAAGUGAGUGUGUUGAUAAGGCACUAUUCAUUGACGUACCAACAGAAUAAGCGACCGCAAACUCUGUCGCAGCAGCCGA
rnacentral:rRNA from 1 species